rnacentral:lncRNA from 1 species
AAACACCCAACCGCGCAGCCCACGCUGCGGGGCCACGACUUGGCCGGAUUUAUGUUCAUGGCUGAGGAUGCCAUGGGCCGAGUAAGAAGGAGAACCGCCACCCAACCACGCAGCCAAGAGCAACCCAGGGAUCCCUCCUCUGCUUGCUCCCCUCCCCCACCCCUGCUGUACCUUCUGCGCAGCCAUCUCGGUAACGGGCGUCAGGGGCGCUCGGCGGCCUGCUGUCCAAGCUGGGGUCAGGAGCCUGGCGGUAGCAAAGAGCAUCACCGAAAGGAAGCUGGUAGGCUAGCGAGGCCAGCCCCAAAGACCCACAGAUACACGCGCUGCUCCGAACUCGCGGGCCCGCGGCGUCCACUAAUGAGAUGAACCUGGGCGCGCAGCGGCUGGACCUCAGCUGCUAGGGCGCCGCCAAGGCCCUGCUGGACACCUUCUGGUACCUGGGCCUCGUGUAUUACACCUGUGGCUGCCGCCGAGGCGCGGUUCAAUUUGAAGUCUGAGCCCCUACAGGCCCGUGAAUCCUGGAUUACAACUGCAGUUUGUGCAAGAAGCAGCAGCACCUGCACUUCCACUUAGCAACCUCCGGCUUCACGCUCCUCCAGGGCGCAGAGAGCAUCAAAGCAUUAUCACCGACCCAACACACACCGGCGCUGCGUAGUUUCUGCAGCAGGUGUGGGGUGAAGAGUUGCCACACAGCUGUCUGACACCGGGUGUACGGCGUCACCCCUCACUUCCUGGACAAGGCAACAUUUUCCUAAAGGUCAAAGGAGAAAAAUCCUAUCAUCUGAGGUGCUGAACAAAGAAUUCAAUAAAUUCAAUCAAUCUGAUGCACUCUGCAGUCGUUCUAAGUUCUUGUCUACUAAAAUCCUCGACUACUACACAUCCACAAUCGCUUCUGUGAAACUCUUGGGACCAAAUGGUUCAGAAUUUGUCUCCCAUACAUACAUAAUAUCUAUGUCAAGGCCUGUAGUAAUACUGUGGAAUCUAAUACAAUGAUAUUUCUGUAGUGAAACAUACAAAUGUUCACUCCAAGAUCUAAAGAUUACAAAUAGCAUCAUGUCAGUUCAAAUCAGGUUUUAUGGAUAAAUGAGUCAGGAAAAGUAUGUUUUUCAAAGCAUUUUGAAUGUUAGACUUGUGCACAAGGGAUUGUGAGUCUGAAUCAUAUUUCCGUCAACUCUUCUUGCCUUUCAUACAAUUUUUUUCUUUCUGUUAUCUUUUUUAUCAUUGAAAUACAACAUUUAGAUAGAAGAUUGUGCAAAUCAUAAGGGACAACAAGUUGAUGACUUUUUACAAAGUGAACACAUGCAUGUAACAACCAGUAAGACCAAAAUAUAGAACAUUACUGGCACCCCAGAAACUUAUGUUAUACCCCUACCUAGUCAUUACCCCUGAAAUUUAAGCACUAUUCUAACCUAUGUUACUAUAGAAUUGUUUUGCCGGCUUUUUAUACUUUAUACAAAUGGAAUUAUAAAUUAUGUAUAUUUUUAUGCCUGGUUUCUUUUGCUCAAUAUGAAUGCUUUUAAGAUCUGUACACUUUGUUGCAUGUAGGGAUAUUUGCUUGUUUCGUUCCUGAACAGUAUUCCAUUGUAUUAAUAUACCACAAUUUAUUCAUUCAACUGUUGAUAUAUAUUUAGGUUGUUUCUAGUUUGUGACUAUUUCCAAUAAUGCCACUGUGAACAUCCUUAUGUCUUUUGAAAAACAGGUUUAUGUAUCUCUGUUGGAUAUAUACUUGUGUGGUAAGCAGAAUUCUAAGGUGAUCUCCAAUGACUCUUGUCUUGGUAUAAUCUCUUCCCAUUGGGUGUAGGUGGAACCUGUAAAUAUGAUGAGAUCUUACUUUUAUGAUUAUAUUACUUCAUAUGGCAAAAAGGAUCUUGCAGAUAUAAUUAAGGUCACAAAUCAGUUGCCCUUAAAGUAGGUGAGGCAGACCUAAUCAGGUGAGCACUUACAAGGGCCCAGGUUUUUGCUGAGAGAUUCGAAGCAUGAGAGAGCAUUUGGAGGGGGCCACGUGACAAGGAACUGCAGGAGUCCUCUAGGUGAUGAGUUGCUGCCCCUUGUUGACAGCCAGCAAAAGAAUGGAGGGACCUCAGUACUACAGCUACAGGGCACUGGACUCAGCUGGCAACAUAGAUGAGUCUGCAAGGGCUUCUUCCCCAGAGAUCCAGAAAGGAACACAGGAAGUCCAAGAGCAUCUCACCCUGUGAGACCUUGAGCAGGGAAACCAGUCACAUGGUGCACAGACCUCUGACCUACACAACUGUGAGCUAAUAAAUGAGUGUUGGUGUAAGCUGCUAAGACUGUAGCAAUGUGUUUAACACCAACAGAAACCACUAUAGAUUUUGAUACCUGGAUGUGAGGUGUAGUCACUGUAAACACCUUAAAAUGUAGAUGUGGCUUUGGAACUGGAUAGUAAGCAAAGGCUGGAAGAAUUUUGAGAUGCAUGACAGGGAAAGCCUAAAUUCCCUUGGACAGACUGGUAGUAGACGUCAGCUGGAUAUCCAAACUGCUUUGGAACUCCUCUUUUCUGCCUUCUGUUUUCUCCUGUAUAAAAUAGAAUGUUUAUAGAUGUUAUCCUAUGCCCGUCCCAUCAUUGUAUGUGGUGGUGUUGGGGGAAGAUAGCUUGUCACUUUAGUGCUGAUGGUCCACAGUUGGAGAGGGAUUUUGCCCUAGGAGUUUUACUGGAUAGGAUCAUACCCAGGAAUCUCAUCCGUUCAUGAUUCAGAUGAUGAAAUUCAGAUGAGCUUUUGGAAUUGAGCUGAUGCCAUAAUACAAAGAAAUUUGGAGACUGUGGGAUGGAUUGAAUGUAUUUUAUACGUGGGAAAUACUGGAUCACUGAGGGCCAGAGGGCAGGCUGAGGCAGGCAGAAUUCUAAGAUGACCUCUAAUGACCUCUGGUCUUAUAUGAACUUCUCUUGAGUAUAAGAGCAGCCUGUGAAUAUGAUGAGAUACCACUCCUAUGAUAAUGUUACACAAUAUGGGGAAAGAGAUUUUGCAGAUGAAUUAUGCUCCCAGAUCAGUGAACCUCGAAAUAAGGAGGUUGACCUGUGUGGGCCAGACCUAAGUAAGUGAGCCCUUAAGAUGGCCUGAGCCCUUCCUGGGAGACUGGAAGUGUGCGAAGGAAUAUGUAGAGCUCUAUGUGGCAAAGAACUGCAUGAGGCCUCUAGGAGCUAAAAAUUGAACUGAAUUCUGCCAAUUACCUGAAUGAGUUUGGAAAUAUAUUCCUCCUCAGUCUCCAGAAAGAAACACAGACUCACUGACCAAUAGAACAGGCUGACUUCACCCUGUGAGACUUGAACAGAGUACUUGUAAACCUAUAGAACUGGGAGCUUAAAUAAAUGGCCAUUGUUUAAAGCCAUUAAAUUUGUGGUGAUUUGUUACUCAGGGAUAGAAAAGUAACAUAGAUGGAAUUUCUGGGUUAUAGAAAAUGCAUAAAUUCAGCUUUAAUAGGUACUCCCAAAUAGUUUUCCAAGGGUACUAAUUUACACUCCUACCGGCAGUUAGAGUUUCAGUUCCUCUAUAGCCUCCCCUGCUCUUUAUAUUGGUAGUCAUUCUAGCUAUUCUGGUAGAUGUUUGCUGAUGUCUUCUUGUGAUUUUAAUUUGCAUAUCUCUGAUGACUUAUUUUGGGAAGUCUUUGUUAUUUGUCAGUUUAAUAUCCUAUUUUGUGAAGUACCUGUUGAAAUAUUGUGCCAGUGUUUAACUGCAUUUACUUUUAUUCUUUAUUUUAUUCUGUACAUAAAACAUUUUCUGAAUGUGUGCGUGCAUGCGUGUUUAUUUGUAGUUAAUGUUUUCCUUUAUCGUUAGUGGUUUUUGUGUUGUGUUUUAGAUAUAAUUUACCCCAAGGUCAUCAAGAUAUGAUUGUAUCUUAUUUUCU